rnacentral:rRNA from 1 species
UACGGAGGGCGCAAGCGUUGUUCGGAAUUACUGGGCGUAAAGCGCGUGUAGGCGGUCUGGUAAGUCGGUUGUGAAAUCCCCGGGCUCAACCCGGGAACUGCAUCCGAAACUUCCAGGCUAGAGUUUCGGAGAGGAAGGCAGAAUUCCCAAUGUAGGGGUGAAAUCCGUAGAUAUUGGGAGGAAUACCAGUGGCGAAGGCGGCCUUCUGGACGAUGACUGACGCUGAGAAGCGAAAGCGUGGGGAGCAAACAGG